AACCCAAAUCCUAAUCUAUCGUGACGGCUUUUGCUCAUUUCACAAAACUGAGACCUUACAAAAACAAUUGGAGAGUUCAAAUGAAAUGUUUGCAUUCAUGGAAGCAACGCACAUCUUUCGGAGAUGAUAGCUUUGAGAUGAUUUUAGCAGAUCAAUGGAUACAUGCUUCUUGCAAACCAAGUCUCAUGUACCGACUUCAACGUCUUUUACCCAUUGAUAUACGUUUUAUGUUUGUUUGAUUCAUUCACAUGUUCUCUCUGGUGGAAGAAUGGUUGCUGGCACAGACGUAUUAUUUUAAUUUCUGCAAACAACAU